rnacentral:rRNA from 1 species
UACGGAGGGUGCGAGCGUUGUCCGGAUUUACUGGGCGUAAAGAGCGCGCAGGCGGUCGUUCAAGUCGAGUGUGAAAGCCCCCGGCUCAACUGGGGAGGGUCAUUCGAUACUGAUCGACUCGAAGGCAGGAGAGGGUAGUGGAAUUCCCGGUGUAGUGGUGAAAUGCGUAGAUAUCGGGAGGAACACCAGUGGCGAAGGCGGCUUCCUGGCCUGUUCUUGACGCUGAGGCGCGAAAGCUAAGGGGAGCAAACGGGG